AGGAAAUAGAUACCCCGGUAGUCCAUACAGUAAACGAUAAGUGUUGAGUGUUGGGAGAGUGUUUUACUUAAAUCCCGUACUGCUUAAAGCUAAACGCGUUAAACACUUCGCCUGGAGAGUACGAUCGCAAGGUUGAAACUUAAAGGAAUCGGCGGGGGCGUGUUACAAACGGUGAAACAAUGUUGUUUAAUCUGAUAAUCCGCAUAGAACCUUACCAGUCCGUGUUAUAGUAUGAAAAGCUAUAGAAUAGUUUUUAUUAGAAAUACUACAGGCGUUGCAUGGCUGUCGUCCAGCUCGUGACGUGAGUUGUAUGGUUAAGUCCUUUAUUAACGAGCG
rnacentral:rRNA from 1 species